UCGUUGGCUUUGGGAAGGCGCUUCCUCGUAUUAUUUAUAUUUCAGUUUAUUAUGCAAUAUAUUUCCAACUUAUACGACCACAUGAGGAUCAUGCGCAUGCGACAAGUUUGCUCCACAUUUUGACUCUGCGCCGCCGUGCUUCACCCUCGCCCCUCGCCUCGUCACGAAGGAGUCAUCGCCAUUAGCAUCAUCGGAAUGUCGUUGGAACCGUUGCAAUACGUUUGAACGGUCUCCGCGCUCGCUCAUCCAUUUGUGAACAAAGGAGGCCGUGAUUUUGCGUCGUAUGGGCGGCUGCAGUGUUGCGUCCCGUCAGGCCAUGAAAGAAGGAAGGAGGAUAUGAUUUUGCGUCGUAAUGGGUUUUUGUUGUUUGUUCGGAGCAGCGGCUGCAGUGUUGCGUCCCGUCAGGCUCUACUUUGUUGAACACUAAGCUGGACACAUAUCUCUCCAGCGCUUCAGAGACGUCGCUGGCGCCGAAUCUAGCUGUUUCACCGUGGGUCGCCAAAAGAACAGCAGAUCAUUGACUGUCAAUUGUGCGACGCGACACUAUGUGGCACGAAGGAUGUGUACGUGUGAAAUACGUAACUACUGUGUGCGCGGGAUGUUUUGUAUGAUUGUGUCGACACUGGAUACCACUUUCAAG